ensembl:ncRNA T05B11.12 ncRNA
ACGGACUGUCAAUCUCCGUCAGCACUUCAUCCAUCUCGACACUAAUAUAACUGUCGCCGCCAAUCGACGUCUCUUCUCUCACCGGUGACACUCUCAUCGUCGCGCUCUCUCCAAGGAUCCCAUACUCGAAACGUCGGCGUCUCUUCA